AGGGUAGUUCGCAAAGGAAUCAAAAACUACACUUUCCUAUUCCAGAGCAUUUAUAGAUAGUAAUACGAGAAAACAUACAAUAAACUAUAGAGAGAGAUUGUAGAAAUGGAAUCAGAGAGGAGAAUAAAGAAGAAAAGAAAAGGAAAGGGUGCCGGAGAAAGCUCAGUGGGCAGGCACGGAGAAGGAAAGGACCACAUGUACCGAAAGAAAAAUAAAUAAUUUGGAAAGUAAUUAAGGUAUCAGGUUGGGUUGCUACUGCCAAGUCUAGAAUCUUGUGUGUGAAUGGGGAAAAGAAUAAUGUAAUGUCUUUUGUUUAAGAUAUAAAUAUUGCAGUAGAAUUUAAUAGUGUAACUUAUCAUUAACGAUUUAGUUUGUCAGAAUUUGCAUAAUGGGCCUAUAAUUUGUUUUAAAUUGUAAACUGUUAAACAGGUAUUCUGAUGUAGGAUGACGUUAUGUUUGAAUGAGGUUAAUGCAGAUGGUUAUAUGCAUUCCAAUUUGUUCAA